rnacentral:lncRNA from 1 species
CGCCGUCAGCCGCUGCCUGCCGCUGCGCCCGCCGCGCAGACCGCGUUCCCGCCCGGCGGAGCUGGGAGCUGCAGGCCGCCCUGGACUCCCGCAGCCACGGCUCUGCCGCCGGGCGGCAGUUCUUAGCAGCCGCCCUGUGCGGCGUGCUCCUCCGGGCAGGGCUGUCCGCAUGCUUCCUUCGCCGACUCAUUCCCGUGCCACCGUCCUUCAGCUGCAUUCACAUUUUGCUACAGCGGAGCAGGGCAACUGCUCGACAGAGAGCCCGCGCGCCACCGUGCAGCGCCAUCUUUGCAAGUCGGGCGCGCAAAAUACGCUGCUUCUAAUUGGCUGCCUCCGUCUAGGGGCGGGUUACUACGCAUGGUGCGGAUUGGCUGCGUCAGUGUGAGGGGCGGGGUUAGAAGGCUGCGGCCAGGGCUGAGGAAACAGGAGUUUUCUGAGGUCUACCAUCAGACUCGUCCAACUUAGCAGGAACUGCAGGACCCUUUUCUGGAUCUGUGACAGGAACUUGACAGUGUCUUAUGUGUGCCCUGCCUCCUUAUUUAAUGCAGUCUCGCUGUGAACUCCUGGUCUUCCUGUCUCAAGCUUGUCAGUGCUAGGACCACAGGUCUAGGUCCUGAACAGAAUCAUCAGCGUAGUUGUGCCUUCUUCCAUGCCCCAAAUAAAGUGAAACUCGG